rnacentral:rRNA from 1 species
AGUGAGCGCUGGCGGUAGGCCUAACACAUGCAAGUCGAACGGCAGCACAGUAAGAGCUUGCUCUUACGGGUGGCGAGUGGCGGACGGGUGAGGAAUACAUCGGAAUCUACUUUUUCGUGGGGGAUAACGUAGGGAAACUUACGCUAAUACCGCAUACGACCUACGGGUGAAAGCAGGGGAUCUUCGGACCUUGCGCGAUUGAAUGAGCCGAUGUCGGAUUAGCUAGUUGGCGGGGUAAAGGCCCACCAAGGCGACGAUCCGUAGCUGGUCUGAGAGGAUGAUCAGCCAAACUGGAACUGAGACACGGUCCAGACUCCUACGGGAGGCAGCAGUGGGGAAUAUUGGACAAUGGGCGCAAGCCUGAUCCAGCCAUACCGCGUGGGUGAAGAAGGCCUUCGGGUUGUAAAGCCCUUUUGUUGGGAAAGAAAAGCAGCAGGUUAAUACCCCGCUGUUCUGACGGUACCCAAAGAAUAAGCACCGGCUAACUUCGUG